UGUUUCCUUAGCGUCUUGUCGCACCCCUGCCUGUGCUCUCGGCACUGCUCUGUCCUGUGUCCGGGCUGCUAGAGAUUGGAUAUGUGGUCCUAAGAACUGGCAGGCCUUCCCACCUGUCUGUCUGCCUGGCCACUGUUUCCGCCUUCUUCCUGGGGCAGUGGGUAGCUUUGCACCCUACGGACGCAUGGCUGAGGGUGUGGACACUGCAGAGCCCUGUAAGGUGGGGGGCCUAGUGAGGGCUUUGGCUGUCACGUCUAGGUGGUGGCAUCAACCUUAACCCUGCCCAGUCCACAGCCUUCCUACAUCACAGUCACAUGUAGUGUGGCCAUUCCAGGUGAUGUGCUCGGCAAACAUGGGGUACCCUGCUCACACCCUGCUGUUCCUGGCUCGGCACCACCACCCUCCAAGUGUGCUCACUGCUCUAUGGGGUGCUCCUAACCGCACAUGCACUUGGAUAUGAAUGUUCUGCACCCUAACGGCACUUCUCCAUGCCCCGUGGCCCUGCACAUGCACCCCUGGGGGCCCCGACAGAGCCCACCGCCUGCCUGAGCAUCCACUUGGACUCGGGUUAUGGCGGCAAGUGGAGAUGCCAAGGGCCAGCUGGGUGGUGGGGAGGGGGGUCUCUCUCCCAGCUGUGUGCUUUCCUGAUGAUUUUUAAGGGAGUAGCUGCUCAAGCUGGGCCAGAGAUCAAAUUCAAGCUGGGCUAGGGAAGAAGCCGGGAACCCAGCCCAUGCUGCAAGGCGGAGCUGCCCAUCUGUCUGGGUGGUGGGGUUGCCCCCAUGCACUGAGCAGAGAGGCUGCAGACCCCUGGAGAGCUGGCCCUCAGGCCUCCAGCAUACCCCUUGAAGCAGGCCAUGGUGUGCGAGUCAAUGGUGGGAGACAACAGAUGCCUGACACAUUCUUCCAUGGACUUAUCCCGUCUCCUGUACUUUAUUGUAUGUGGAAACAAAGAUAAGCCCCACAUUAUCAGUUCACAUAAAUAAAGUGACCUGAUGGUGACAAGGAAAUGUGAGAAUCAGAGCAGCUGGGAGGAGUGGUGCUUCCAAGGCACGUGCACACAGGCCCUCCUGAGGGCUCAGGCCGUUUCUGCCCAGGCAAGUCAAGGGACAAGGGAGCCUCUGGCCUUGUCACUGUUCCUCUUCUGUUUUGUAGUUAAGGGCACCAGGCUUCCCAAGUGAGUGGGGGACUUGCCUUGGGGCGGGCUUAGGGCUUCUCCAGGACUCCAAAUGCUCUGGACCACCUCGUUUCCAAUGGGCCCAGAUGGCAUGAAGUUUACUAGGCCACGUUCUGUAUUUAUUAAGCUGCAUCAUGUGCAGAGACUAGAUAGUUGGCUGGCCACCUCUGUCCAUCCUUCACCUUCUCUUCUCGGGACCCUCCCCCCAUUGCUUUUUUUUAUUUCAACCAGCAGGGGGCGCUGAGCCCCUUGCCAACCUGGAAAGGGCCGACUCCUCUGGCCAGGGCCCACUGCCCUCAGAUGGGUGAAUAGCUGCAUUCUUGGGCCCAAUUAGCAUUCUUUGUGGCUGCCAUGCCCCAGAGUUGCCUCUGCUGUGGGGUUUUGCACCUCCUGUGUUUUCUAGCAGGCUGCACUUACUAACGGUUUCUCCUAAGCAGCCUUUUCUCCUAAGGAGCUGAGUGACCAAAAGAAAACUCCAAAGGCUGGAAUUGGAGGGGAUCUGAUAGUUAAAGCAGCUCUUCUUGGCCCUUGUGUGGUACUUCAGGAGGCUGUGAGUGUCUAGUCCCGAUAUCUUGAUUGAUUGCAAGUAUUUUGACCAUGGCCUGCGUCCCUGGUGCUCAGGCCCCACUUCCCGGUGUACUUGCUUUAGGUAGAAAUGCCCCUACACCCCACCCACUGCCUCUGCUGUAGGGCAGCCGUGAUGGCAUUUCCAGCAGUACUCUGCUGCCACCGAGAUUUUUUUUUAUUUCUUUCACAUUUUCCAUCCUUUUAAAGAAAGUGGAAAGAUUGUGCAACAAGUAAUCUGAGAGUCCUGGGAACAGCUGUCCUGGUGAGAAGGAGGGCAAGAUUUACAGUCUCAGCCACCCGCCUGCAGGAUCCCAGGCUCCAGUGAGCUGGCCCUGGCGGUUGGCGAGGCUGCUUCCAGGUCAUCCUCUCCCCAGGCGCACCCUCCCCACCUUGGGUUUUCCGAGGCUGCCUUUUGUCUUCUGCUCCUGGUUUUUCCCUUGCCGUCCACCUGCGCUGGAAAGCUCUGUCUUGAGCCGGCUGGGUGGUGCUGCUCUCGGGAGGGAUGCACCCUGUGGGUUGGCCAUUUGGCUCAGACUCUGGGGGCCCCAAAGCAGGCGCCUGCACUUCCGGCCCUGGCCGUCCACCAUCUCUGCUGCACCGGAAACUGCACUCCCUCUACAGCAGCAACUCCAGCAGCUGUUCACAUUGGGCCCUUGGAGCCGAGCAGCCCAAGUUCUGUGACCACUUACCAAGGUUCUUUCUUGAGGGGAUGGGCAGGAUCGGGGGCAUUGAAGGUAUUUCCCUUGGUCUUUUGGGGCUUGUUUUGCCAUCCUUGUUCUUAUGUUUCCAUUUGGACUGGAGCCGAAAUUCCUGAAAGGGCCUAUUUUUGUUACUUGUACUAAGGGUCAGUUCUGCUGACAUGGCUCCAAGACAUGUAUCACCAAAAGAAAUGGAACAGAGGCACUAAAUUUGGGCUUUGAGGUGGCACAUUGACCCUUCCUGGCUGUUGUCCACAGGGUGGGAUUCUGCCGCCUGCCUGGGGUACAGGGCUAAUUCUUGGGAUCCAGCUGCAGUUCAGGGAGGUAGUAUGCCAUAUAUGUGGGGGUGGCGGGGAUGUGUCUCCCCCAGCUGGUCCCAGGGCUCCACGUUUCCCCCACUCGGCAGCACUUGGGUUGUGGUCUGUCUCACCACAUUCUCUGAACCCAGCUAUUACUUGGGUUGUGGUCUUCUGUUGAGCUUCGAUUCUGGCUAGAGUCUGGAUCUGCUUGAGGGUUAAGUAUUGGGAGGGCAGGGUGGGCGGGGUACAAGUGCCACCCUGCCACCAUACCAAGGCCUCUGUAGACCCCAGCUGGGCAGGCUGGAGGUGGGUGCCCUGAUUCCCCACUUCCACUGCUGUCCUGAUAGGCUUUAGGCAGAGCUGGGAUCACAUCAGCCUGGCUCCUGGGGGGUAUCCUAGAACUCUUAAGUUCAGCUUGCACCCCAUCAUUUUGCUGAUGUCUGGCUCUUAACAUAUGCCAUCCACAGGUCUUUUCUGGGCAGGGGUGGACACUGUGUGUGUCUUUCAGGAGGAUCCCCUGCCCCCAGCUACCUGGUAGGUGGUGUGGGGCAAUUCUCUUGAACUUGGCCUGAUCUGCUUGUUGCAGUGGGAACACACUCCAGUUAUUUUAGUCUCCUGGUUUCCUUUUCCCAGGAUUAGAGCAUGUGGGUGUUUCUUAAUAGCUCCAGGGGAAAAAGGAAUGCUUGAUAUUUUGGAAAGAUUUGAGCUGGAAAGUGCAGACAGAGGCCACGGAGCAUUCUUCCCAGACAACCAGCCUCAGCUUCCGACCCCCAGGGUCUUUGAAGGACUUGGUCCCAGUCCCAUCUGGAGGCCUGCUGCUGCCCUCUUCAGGGGUGUGGCGCUUGCUCUCAAGACAGGAGGAGGGCACUGCGGCCGGUUCUGCCUGCCUGCCUGCCUUCCAGGUGACCCCUUGCACACCCUCACACACGGCUCACAGCUGGAGGGCUUCUGGAGCUUCACGGGCAAGGGCCAGCCUUGUGGAAUGUGCCCGGAAUGAUGGGCCAGCCAGUGGGCGGGGUUUUCCCAUGUGCACACUUGGGGGCCGUGGGAGUGCAGUGGUGGUUGUGCCUGUGACUCUCGUAGAGCCAUCUGCUCUGCUGUGCGGGUGGGGAUGAGCCUCACGCCCUCCCCAGUCAAGGGGGACUGUGUUCCAUGCCACAGGAAAAAAGGGACAACUUUUCUCCUUGACCCAUUUUUUUAUUCCUUUUUUCCUCCUCCUCAGAGAGUGUAUAAAACGGGUUUCUCUUUUUUAAUUGACUUUUUAUUUCUUGGGGUUCAUAGGAGUGCACAGAUAAGGCUGUUAGCCAGAGGGCCUACACUCAAGAACCUCCUUUCAUGGGGGCUUUUCUUAACCUCUGCCAAGCCCUGGGGAUGGGCCAGCAUCACUACGCUGAGAUAGACAAGGUACAGGAGGGCCCAGGGGCGUCGGUUCAGAGCCAGUGCCUGAUGGGUGUCGCACAUGGACUGAUCUUCAGGUGUGAUCUUGAGGAGGACAGACCCAGGGCACUGUGUACCUCCCAGAUUCACAGACCUCCCUGCUGGAGAGAUGCCAGCGAGUGCUCAGGGCACCCAUGGAACUUGUUACUGGAAGCAGUUCUGUCCAGAAGCACAGACAAGCUGGGGCAGUUUUGGAGCCACCCACACGUGCUGGACCUGUGGCCCUUCUUAGGGGAAGGUCCUGCCUAAUCAUUGGACACGGACUCUUAAUAAAACGGUCUUCAGUUCCAGAUUCCUUACCAGCAAGCUAUAGCUUAAGUCCAUUUUCUUCUGUGAAAGGGACAGGACUCCAUCGAGUCAUGGAAUUCCUCAGAGCCCUGGGCCUGUCCUGGGGUGGAUUAGUCAUGUCCAGCGGCACACGCCUAGUCCCGCCUCUGGGAAGGCUUGCCUGCCUGGCCAGCUGCCCGGGCCUCCUGUGUAAAGACUUCCUGGCUGUCCCACCCAGCCUCCUUGGGCAUCCGGGGUCCUCCAGGUGGGCGGCAUCUGCCGGAGGGUGAUGACAGUCCCCCCUGCACCCGCAUACAUGUGGUGCUGCUCCGUGUGCAAGGCCCCAUCACACAUAUGUUUUCUCUCUCCAUCGCUCCCUCUUUUCUGGGACAAAUGGAUCCUAACUGCUUCCCUCCUGGCCCUUGCAGUGACCUUAGCCCAGGGAAGAUCUCAUUCAGCUUAGGAAGAGGCUUUCUUGGGACAAGGCCAGCUGGUCCCAAAGGCUCAGUGGGGCAGUCCCUCAGCACACCCUUCUCUGGUGGCUACAGGCUUCAUUAGCCAGAGGCUCUCACCAGCCACAUUUAACUCCUAGUCCCCUGGAAUUCUUCCAUUUUAAUUGUUCCAUCAUUGCCUGUUAGGCAUUUCCCAACUUCUUUAGCUGCUUCUCCUAAAGUCACACAGGGAAAAGUACAAGUACCUCUUAGGCUGUCUCCCAGUCAUCUCCCCACCCCUCCACCCCCACCAGGUAAUGAGAAACAGGCUGCAGUGGGUAAGAGCUUUCAGGCAGGCUACUGGUAAGGAGCAGGGCGGAGGGGAGGAGCAGCCGUGCAGCCAGCCGACCUGGCCCCCCGGGCCCACCAUCCCUGCCCUGUGGGGUCAGCCUGCUCUGCGGUGCCUGUGGGGUGUUGCCAGCUUGGGCACCCUCUUAGUCUUCAGUCCCCUAGAAUGACGACAGCCACUGGGAGUGGGGCAGACCAGGAUGGCUGCAUCACACGAGCCCUCAGAGAGGCACUGAAUAGGCUUUUUUAACUCUCAAAAUAAAUAUCGGCCCUUUUUUGGUCAUGAAUCCAGCAUCUCAGCCGAAAACUGCCUGAUGUGGAAAGUUCCCUGAGGAACAGCAUCUGUGUUUCAGGGAGCAUGUUUUUUUGUUUGUUUUUGUCUUUUUUUUUUUUGGGUUUUUUUUAAGUGUACUUUGUGUGUACUUCUCGAAGGCCUAGCCAACUCCUGGCUUCUUGGAGCCUGCCUUGUGGAGCCAGAAGCAGAUUUGAGGAGGUGCAGCUUACUCUCAGCAGGCCCUUGGGCAUUGGCCGCUGUCUGUGUGGAAGCCCCACACCCCUCCACGAGCUCCCUGGGAUCUGGGCCUGAGCAGCUCUAACUGCCCCACACCCGCCUUGCCUUGGGUUCUAGCGCCUGUCUCCCCAGAGCCGCCUCCAGGGCCCUGCAGUGGUGCUUGGGAGUUCCUAGGCUGCGGCCUGAUCCUGGCUGGUGGGCCCCCAGUCGAGCUCCGUUUGCUAGACAGACUGUUUUGAGCUGCCGUUUGGCCUGUGCCUGACGUGUUCCCAGCACAACUUGGCCUGGCUGGUGCCGGGGGGCUUCAUGCCCAGAGAUUCCCACAGGACAUUUGGGAAGCUGCUGGCUGGCAUUGUCUUUCUGGGAAGAUUCUGCUGCUGUCUUGGAACAAAUGGCAGCCUGGCUUCCCAGAGUGUUGGCCCAUGUGCCGACCCAUCACUUCCCACACGCGUACACCCAGGCUGUGCUGCAGGCCAACUCUCCUGAAGUGUCCUUGGACUCUCACUGUCCGGGUUCCCACCCUUCUUGCCUGUGGGGCAUCCAUCUGGCAGAGAACUUGAUCUUUAGACUUGAGCUGUCACCUGUGCCCAGUGCUCCAUGAACAGAGCAGAGAGCAGUGUCCCCAUAACUCCUUAUUGGUCGCCUCCUGUAUGCGGGCAGGGGUGGUGCCAGCCAGGCCUCGACACCAGCUGGGUUGAGGGGCAUGAGGAGUUAGUGAGGGGACAGAAGGCCGGCAGCCACUGCUGCUGAGGCUCCCCCAUCGGUUCAGUUGAGGGGCUCCACGCCUCUGCCCUGCCCUUACCCUCUAUUCUAUCUUUUUCCCUUGAGGUGGGGGUGGGGAGCUGGAGGAAGCAGUGUUUUAAUCAGAUUUUACAAAAACGUUUUAAUUCUUUGUACAAUUACCAUCCUAUGUAAAGAUGAAAUUUGUGUUGAGUUCAAGAUUUUCAUGGAAUAAAGAUCACACAGUACUUGAGGCCAUCUUCAUGUAA